UCAUAAUUGCCGAUCUCUCGGGAGACGCCAGAUAUGUUUCAGCUCACCACCUGACACAGAGCAACAUCAGAGGAAUAGGCAACUCUGCCUGGAGGCUGCCAUCCCCUUACAGAGAUCUGAAAGAAGAAAUGGCGAGACACGCACAAUAUCAGAAGCACCGCAACAGGGGACGCUCCCAGCAGAAGCCAAGAGGCAAAAGCAGGAGACAAAGAAGGAGGCAAAGGAGAAGAAAGACAAGAGUGGGCAAGAAAUACUAUCUCAGGAGACGAGUGUUUUUUUGAGAUCCAGCUUUCUCUGCCGUAUGUUGCAAUGUCAACUGCAUGACAAACAAUUCUGCUUCCUGGGAAGCUUGGAAUAGGAGCAGCCACUUAACAUGCAAUAAACAGGCCUGGAUGCA